UCUACAACUAGGCAAACGAAUAUUAUAUAGCAUCUUUAAUUUCUGUACAGUACAUUUCAACUUCUUAGCAAAAUAUUCAUUAUAUCACACAAUUGCUGUAAAUGUAUUUAUAAUUAUGUCGUAGAAGAAUUAUGUUUAGUUAAACCAUAAAGUUGUAGAAUAUUAAUAAUACUGAUUUCAAAAUAUCGUAGGUCAAGAAGUGAAAAAAUCUGGCAUGGAUCAUUUUUGUUACGAGCCCCUCAAUUAUCCAAUUAAUCCAGAAAUUGUUACAGAACACCAAGAUACCGUGCCAACAAUAACAACCAAAAAAUGCAAAUAAUUACUUGAAACUGCUGGUAGUAUUGCUGUUUACGUUUGGGUACCACAAUCCAGCAGCUUUGAUGAGCGUUUUUAAUUUAUUUCCGGUCUGAGCCCUGAGCUCAGAUUCUACUCCUGAUGCGGAUCCCCACUCAGCUAACUGCCGGAAGCCAUCAGUUGCGAUGUGGUCCUUAC